ACGCGAAGAACCUUACCAAGGCUUGACAUCGUAUUGACAAAUACAGAAAUGUACCUCCUUCGGGCAGUAUGACAGGUGGUGCAUGGCUGUCGUCAGCUCGUGUCGUGAGAUGUUGGGUUAAGUCCCGCAACGAGCGCAACCCUUUUCCCAUGUUGCCAGCAAUUCGGUUGGGCACUCUUGGGAUACUGCCAGUGUAAAACUGGAGGAAGGUGGGGAUGACGUCAAGUCAUCAUGCCCUUUGUGCCUUGGGCUGCACACGUGCUACAAUGGCUUGAACAAAGAGAAGCGAUACUGCGAGGUGGAGCGAAUCUCAUAAAACAAGUCUAAGUCCGGAUUGAAGGCUGCAACUCGCCUUCAUGAAGUCGGAGUCGCUAGUAAUCGUGGAUCAGAACGCCACGGUGAAUACGUUCCCGGGCCUUGUACACACCGCCCGUCACACCAUGAAAAUCGGAUACACCCGAAGCCAGUGUGCCAACUGUUUACAGAGGUAGCUGUUGAAGGUGGAGCCGGUGAUUAGGGUGAAGUCGUAACAAGGUAGCCGUACCGGAAGGUGCGGCUGGAUCACCUCCUUU
rnacentral:rRNA from 1 species